rnacentral:tRNA from 1 species
GCCAGGGUAGCUCAGCGGUUAGAGCACGGGACUCAUAAGCCCGGAGUCGUGGGUUCGAAUCCCACCCCUGGUACCA